GUGUGCUAACCAAACGUUAUACGGUCCUAAGCACAGUUAAGGCUGCCCGCGAGUAACUGCCGGUGAAUGGAGGCUGCGCAUGCUCAGUGUGAACCUCGGCAGUGGCCAGGCGCCGGCAGUUACGGGCUGUAGUCAGUACCUGGCUUGCCGUUACCGCGACCACUACCGCCACCGGCACCGAUAUCACGGAAGCACCUUGGCCGAUACCCCCCUGCCCCCUCCGCCUUCGUCCACCGUGGAGGGGAAAGUGCGGCCGUGAGCGCGCGCACGCGAGCACACACUGAAUAUCAGCUCAGAGGGUUUCCUUGUGUUGGAUGAAUGGCAAUGAUGCAGCCUGAUGAACACAGGAGUAGAAAGAUGAUGGUGCCUGAAGAAUAUGGGAUAUAUUGGCUGUAUGUAGCAACAAGAAUAAAAGGACUACUAAGACAACAACAACAGGCUGGAAGACUUGGAAGGACUGCAUCAAUGAAGAGGAAGAAAGGAUUAAAAUAGAAGAAAUAUGGAGAGGGGGCAAGGUGAAAAAACAGGCUUGAUAAGGUCUGCAUCAAAGAAGCACAAGAAAGAAAAGUGGAGGGCUUAUGAAGAGAGGGGGGGCCAGGUGAACAGGCUUGGAAAUUAUUUGCAUCAAAAAGCAAGAAAGAUGAGAAAGACUGUGUGUGAAAAACAUGUAGUUGUUUGUUGUGAUGCAUGGAUGGAUGGGGGAUCUCAGUUGGGAGUAAAAAUACACACACAUACACAGUGGGCACAGUCAGUAUGUGUGUGCACAAAACGAACUAGUGUGUGUGUGUGUGCACAAAACAAACUACUGAAUAAAAUAAAUUCAAUAUU